ensembl:snoRNA
GAGCAAUGAUGAAAAGGUUUUACUAUUGACCUUUAUAACUGUGAAGGUUUCUACAUUUGAUCUGAGCUCA